rnacentral:rRNA from 1 species
GACGGGGGGGGCAAGUGUUCUUCGGAAUGACUGGGCGUAAAGGGCACGUAGGCGGUGAAUCGGGUUGAAAGUGAAAGUCGCCAAAAAGUGGCGGAAUGCUCUCGAAACCAAUCCACUUGAGUGAGACAGAGGAGAGUGGAAUUUCGUGUGUAGGGGUGAAAUCCGUAAAUAUACGAAGGAACGCCAAAAGCGAAGGACAGC